rnacentral:rRNA from 1 species
UACGAAGGGGGCUAGCGUUGCUCGGAUUGACUGGGCGUAAAGGGCGCGUAGGCGGUUUGUACAGUCAGACGUGAAAUUCCUGGGCUCAACCUGGGGGCUGCGUUUGAUACGUGCAGACUUGAGUUCGGAAGAGGGUCGUGGAAUUCCCAGUGUAGAGGUGAAAUUCGUAGAUAUUGGGAAGAACACCGGUGGCGAAGGCGGCGACCUGGUCCGAUACUGACGCUGAGACGCGAAAGCGUGGGGAGCGAACAGG